GACGAACGCUGGCGGCGUGCCUGACACAUGCAAGUCGGACGGUUCUUGUAUCUUCAAGCUUGCUUGCAGGUGCAAGGAUAGUGGCGGACGGGUGAGUAACGCGUGAACAUCUACCCAUUGGGAGGGGGACAACCCGUCGAAAGGGCGGGCUAAUACCGCGUAAGCCGCGAGGUGAGAGGCUGCCUAUUGGUGGCCGCCGAUGGAGUGGGUUCGCGUCCUAUCAGCUGGUUGGUGGGGUAACGGCCUACCAAGGCGAAGACGGGUAGCCGGUCUGAGAGGAUGGCCGGCCACACUGGAACUGAGACACGGUCCAGACUCCGUACGGGAGGCAGCAGGUGGGGAAUUAGUUGGGCAAUGGGGGAGACCCUGACCCAGCGACGCCGCGUGAGGGAUGAAGGUUUUCGGAUCGUAAACCUCUGUUGUACGGGAAGAAGGAUGUGACGGUACCGUACGAGAAAGCCCCGGCAAACUACGUG
rnacentral:rRNA from 1 species